ACGUGAAAUCCUGUCUGAACAUUGGGGGACCACCCUCCAAGCCUAAAUACUCCCUGUGUGACCGAUAGUGAACAAGUACCGUGAGGGAAAGGUGAAAAGCACCCCGACGAGGGGAGUGAAAGAGACCUGAAACCGGAUGCCUACAAGCAGUCGGAGCCUCUUAUGGGGUGACGGCGUACCUUUUGUAUAAUGGGUCAGCGAGUUUCUGUUUGCAGCGAGCUUAAGCCGGUAGGUGUAGGCGCAGCGAAAGCGAGUCUGAAUAGGGCGACGAGUUGCUGGCAGAAGACCCGAAACCGAGUGAUCUAGCCAUGGCCAGGCUGAAGGUGCGGUAACACGCACUGGAGGGCCGAACCCACGCCUGUUGAAAAAGUCGGGGAUGAGCUGUGGCUAGGGGUGAAAGGCCAAUCAAACUCGGAGAUAGCUGGUUCUCCGCGAAAUCUAUUGAGGUAGAUCGUCAGGUGUUGACCCCGGGGGGUAGAGCACUGGAUGGGCUAGGGGGGCCCAAAGCCUUACCAAACCUAACCAAACUCCGAAUACCCGGAAGUUUAGCUUGGCAGACAGACGGUGGGUGCUAAGGUCCAUCGUCGAGAGGGAAACAGACCAGACCACCAGCUAAGGCCCCUAAAUCGUGGCUAAGUGGGAAAGGAUGUGGGGAUUCCAAAACAACCAGGAGGUUGGCUUAGAAGCAGCCAUCCUUUAAAGAAAGCGUUAUAGCUCACUGGUCUAAUAGAAACCCUGCGCCGAAAAUGUAACGGGGCUCAAGCCACGUGCCGAAGCUGUGGGUGCAUACUUUGUAUGCGCGGUAGCGGAGCGUUCCGUAGGUCUGUGAAGGAGACGGGGUGACCCUCUCUGGAGAUAUCGGAAGUGCGAAUGCUGACAUGAGUAGCGACAAACAGUGCGAGAAACACUGUCGCCGAAAGUCCAAGGGUUCCUGCGCAAGGUUAAUCCGCGCAGGGUGAGCCGGCCCCUAAGGCGAGGGCGAAAGCCGUAGUCGAUG
rnacentral:rRNA from 1 species